UUUUUCAUCCUUCAUCUCCCAUAUGUUCUCUAUUUUCUCUAUUCUUCCAUUCGCUAUAUUUCUCCCUCUAGUUUGAGAGUAGCUCCAUUCAACCAUAUUAAGAGCUUCUUGGCUUGGUUGUUCGACAAGAAAGGAAGAGAAAAUAUAGGAGCAAACAAGCUGUGCUUCAGAGACCUACCAAAAAUGGCUUAGAGUUUCUUAUUUCCUUUAAAUCUUUUACUUUUGCUCAAUUUCAUGAACAUAAUUGCAACUAAGUGUUUUAUUUUCAAUAAAAUCGUGGUUGUUUAAAUCUGUUGGUGUUAGAAUGAUUUAAUUUCCAUAGUUCAUUUCAUUUAAUUAUGUUAAAGGUGUUCUAUGCUUUCAAUCUAUUUACUCAUGCAAGUAAAAUCAUGACUAUAUUUCUUAUACAGUAUGACUGUAAAGAAAUGACUGAAUUAAUUAAUUAAUCUAAUCAAGGUUUUAAUUACUUGACAAAAUACUUGUAUGUUGUAUGUUUAAUCAAUUAGGGAUUAAAAUUGUAAUAAUACCAAAACUAUUAUUACCUUACAUAACCUUGUAAAAUGUUUUGUUUAUGAAAUUAUAAGUUUACUAAACAUAGAAAUAUGCUAGGUAGACUUAGUAAUUAAAUAAGUUUAACAUUUUUACCCUAUUAGAUAAAGGUUAGUAAAUGAUCGACUUCCACAUAAUCUCUGUAACAUCAUUUAACAAUGUUUAAAUAAAUCUAAGUUAGGAAAGAAAAUUAUUCUAACACAAGCAUGCUAUUGUGAUAACUCUUAAAUCUUGCUUAUUUUUUGUGUUUAUUUUAUAUUUCUUACUUAGGUAAUUCUUAGUUAAUUAAAUUAGUUAGUUAAUCCCCUUUUACUCGUUUGCAUCAUUUUUUUAAUCUAUAUUAUUUUCACCACCAAUUUGUUUAAGUUUUAAUUUUUUCACAAAAAGGUUGCUUAUACAGUCCUCCUCGUGGAGAUGAUACUCUAUACUUAUCACUUUAUUACUUAUCAAUGAUUGUGUACACUUUUAACAUUUCGUCGAUCCAAGUUUUUGGCAUUGUUGCCGGGGACUAUGUUUAAAGACAAUAUUUGUGAAAUUAUUAUUUUUGCAAAUUAGUUUAAAUUUUUUGUUGAAAUUUAAUUUAGUUAUUUUCAUGUUUUAUUUCAGGUGUUUGAGUAUUGAUCAUAUCAUUAACUUACUCCCAAUAUAUCCUGAAAUCAGAAGAACAUUCAGACAAAGGAGAAGAUAAGCAACUCAAACACAGACUGAAGAAAUGAAUCUUGAGAAUCAAAAUCAAGAUAAAGGAAAUGGAGCUGUAAAUUGUCAAAAUCCAGUCCUUGUUUCUGAUGAUAGGGACUGAGCCUUAAGACAGUACGUCGUGCCACUUUUCCAUGAACUUAAUCUUGGUAUUUUAGACCCGAGAUCGAGACACCACAAUUCGAGUUGAAGCUUGUUAUGUUCCAGAUGCUUCAGAUAGUGUGUCAAUUGAUUGUCUUACUUUUUGGAAUCAAAGUGUUUAGCAAGUCAUGAAUAGGGCAAGAACACUACAGACUAUGUGAAAGUAAUUGGUGUCUGUAGGAAAGAUGAUACAUCAAAUGAUGAAUGGACGUCUCCUUUUAUAGUUGAUGAGCCCAUGCUAAAAAUAAAAAACAAAUCUCCCUAUAAUCUCCAUGCUUGUGUCGUCCAUUGAUUAAGGGAGAAGUGGUUGCUUCCUUGCCAAAUUUAGCAAGGAUGUUAUCUUAAUUUCCUCCCCUUGUGGUUUCGUUCCUUGGUGUGAGGAAGAAUGAGUCUUCCUUGCUAAUUUUAGCAAGGAAGUUGGAAUUGUUCUCUCCAUGUGUGGCUGGCCAAUAUGUAGUCCAAAUGUAGUGGAUUUUUUAUUGCUAUUUCUAGCAUUUAGUGGAGGGUUAGGGAUAUAUAUGUUGAUUUGUAGUUGGCGAAAUAUUGGGUCCAAUCUACUAUAUUUGGG
rnacentral:lncRNA from 1 species